AAAUUCUCAAGCUGGAUGCUUUUUUCCUCCAAAAAGUUCAUCUUAGUUUGGUGUUGGGCCUUGCCGUGACCCAUUUGUUGGGAACGGCUGACCUUAAAAUUAUUAGCUGGCGCUCAUGUGGGGAUUGGUUCUACUCAGCAUGAUAUAAUGAAUGUGUAACUGCUGAGGACAUUCCUUUGGGGGGAUGGCCAAGCUCUGUUUGGGGGUUGCUUCAAAAAUCCUGGUUUGCAGAUUCCUUGAGUCUGCUCCCAGUCACACUCGA
rnacentral:misc_RNA from 1 species